UCUCUACUCUUUCAAUCACCUCCUACUCUUUUCCUAAGCCUUGUCUUAAAAUCAGCAGACUUGUCUUAAUAGAAGAACUAUCCUAACAAGACAAAGAAGAAAGAGGGUUUAAUUUGUUUGAGAGUUUGAGUGCCUUGGACUCUCAGUAUAAGUCCUAUUUAUAAGAGCAAAAGGGGUGUAGAAAAGGGCUCAGACAUGCCUCUUCACAUGUCCCUCAAAUCAGUGUAUCAAAAAAUUAAAAUACUUAUUUGAGGACUCUUAAUUUUC
rnacentral:lncRNA from 1 species